UCCACAGCAAGUGUAUCGCCACUGUCCUCGCAUUCCUCAUCCUCUCCGUCUGGGCGGCGAUUCCUUCAGGCGGCGGCGAUUCUGGUGACAGAAGGCGGAGAGGAGAGAGCCGCAGCAGGUGUCGUGUGGGUUUUGUGGGAACUUUUUCCAGAAUGCCGAAGCUGUUGACUUCAACGUCCAUGGGACGAGUUCCGCUCUUCAGCGCGGCGAUUGUGGGGAGCGAGAAGGGAAGUGGAGGGGACCACCAUUCAAGUAUGUGAAGUACAUGCGAUUAAGUUAUAUGUGUUUUUUUUUUCAUUUGUUAGGCUAUAUGUGUGUUCAAUAUACUCUAAUGUGGUGGUAAUUUGUGUGUGCAGAGGAUUAGGUGAAAUGUUCAGUAGUUGAUUUUUGUAGUGUUGUUUGUAGUAUUCUACAUAUAUAAGUUGGAGCAGCAGCUCAUGAUUAUCUUGUUUUUGUAGUGCUCUAUACAUAUAGUAGUUUUUUUCUGGAUGUUAAAGAUGGUAUGCACAAUUGAAUACUAGUUGUGUAAUACAGUCCUAGCUUUUUUGCCUAUAUUUUUUGUAACCUGUUUGUUCGUCACUAAUCUCUAGUUUCUAGUUACUAGUUUUCGACAGUUCUACCAUAAGUACUUUUGACAGUUUUCCAUAGUUACUUACUAGUUACUAUUUUCAGCAGUUUCAUUAGCGUAAGCAUCGGUAUGAGCACCAUCAGUUACAGUCUUGCUCUCGAUCUUUUUAUUAUUAUCUUUUUGACUUUUUCCUAUGAUUCAGGAUGGUGUGCCAAUUUGUUUUGCUCAUUUUUGCAAGGUGGACAAUGGUGAGAGCUUUGGCAUGUUUUUUCCUGAUGCUGACGAAACCUUUACGGUAAACUUUUUGUUUGAUGCGACUUGCAAGUUGAACCUCGACUUGCAACUGGAUCUUUUUGUUUGAUGCCACUUGCAAGUCUGACUUUGCAAGUGGGUCUUUUUUGUUUGAUGUCACUUGCAAGUCGACCCUCGAUGUGCAACUAGGUCCUUUUGUUUGAUGUCACUUGCAAGUCGACCCUCGACUUGCAUCUGGGUCUUCUGUUUUCGUGCCACAGGCAAGUCGACCCUCGAUGUGCAACUAGGUCCUUUUGUUUGAUGUCACUUGCAAGUCGACCCUCGACUUGCAUCUGGGUCUUCUGUUUUCGUGCCACAGGCAAGUCGAGCCUCGACUUGCAACCGGGUCUUUUUGUUUGAUGUCAAAGUCGAGCAUCGACUUGCAACUCGGGUCUUUUGUUUGAUGCCACUUUGCAAGUCGACCCUUGACUUGUAACUGGGUCUUCUAUUUUUUUAUGCCAGUUUGCAACUCGACCCUCGACUUGUAACCGGGUUCUUUGUUUUAUUCCACUUGCAAGCGGACCCUCGACAUGCAACUUGGUCUUUUGUUUGAUGCCACUUGCAAGUCGCCCCACGACCUACAACUAGGACUUCUGUUUUCAUGCCACUUGCAAGUGGACCCUUGACUUGCAACCGGGUCUUUUAUUUCAUGCCACUUGUAAGUGGACCCUCGACUUGCAACUGUGUCUUCUUUUUUAUGCCACUUGCAAGUAGACCCUCGACUUGCAACUGGGUCUUUUUGUUCGAUGCUACUUGCAAGACCCUCGACUUGCAACUUGUCUUUUUUAUAAUGCCCACUUGCAAGUCGAGCCUCGACUUGCGACUGGGUCUUCUGUUUUUCAUGCCACUUGCAACUGGAAACUCGACUUGCAACUAGGUCUUUUUUGUUUGAUCACACUUGCAAGUUGACCCUCAACUUGCAACUGGGUCUUCUUGUUUGAUGCCACUUGCAAGUCGACCCUCAACUUACAACUGGGUCUUCUAUUUUUGAUGUCACUUGCAAGUGGACCCUCGACUUGCAACUAGGUCUUCUGUUUUCAUCCCACUUGCAAGUGGACCCUCGACUUGCAACCGGGUCUUCUGUUUUCAUCCCACUUGCAAGUGGACCCUCGACUUGCAAGUGGGGUCUUUUUGUUUGAUGCCACUUGCAAGUGGGGUCUUUUUGUUUGAUGCCACUUGCAAGUGGGGUCUUUUUGUUUGAUGCCACUUGCAAGUGGGGUCUUUUUGUUUGAUGCCACUUGCAAGUGGGGUCUUUUUGUUUGAUGCCACUUGCAAGUGGACCCUUGACUUGCAACCGUGUCUUUUUUUAUGCCACUUGCAAGUGGACCCUCGACUUGUAACUGCGGUUUUUUUGUUUGAUACCACUUGCAAGUCGACCCUCGACUUGCAACUGGGUCUUCUGUUUUCAUGCCACUUGCAAGUGGACCCUCGACUUGCAACUGAGUCUUUUUUGUUUGAUGCCACUUGCAAGUCGACCCUCAGUUUUCAACUGGGUCUUCUUGUUUGAUGCCACUUUGCAAGUCGACCCUCAACUUGCAACUGGGUCUUCUAUUCUUGAUGCCACUUGGAAGUGGACGCUCGACUUUGCGAUCCAAUUACUUGUUUCAUGCCACUUGCAAGCCGAGCCUCGACUUGCAACUAGGUCUUCUGUUUUCAUACCACUUGCAAGUGGACCCUCUACUUGCUACUGUGUCUUUUUGUUUAAUGCCACUUGCAAGUGGAUCCUCGACUUGCAACCGCGUCUUCUAUUUUUUUGAUGCCACUCUCAAGUGGACCCUCGACUUGCAACCGGGUUCCUUUGUUUUUCAUGCCACUUGCAAGUGGAUCCUUGACUUGCAACUACUUC